rnacentral:rRNA from 1 species
GACGAACGCUGGUGGCGUGCUUAACACAUGCAAGUCGAGCGGAAAGGCCCUUUCGGGGGUACUCGAGCGGCGAACGGGUGAGUAACACGUGAGUAAUCUGCCCUUGGCUUUGGGAUAACUACCGGAAACGGUGGCUAAUACCGGAUACGACGUACUCAGGCAUCUGAUGUGCGUGGAAAGUUUUUUCGGCCAGGGAUGUGCUCGCGGCCUAUCAGCUUGUUGGUGGGGUAAUGGCCUACCAAGGCUUCGACGGGUAGCCGGCCUGAGAGGGUGACCGGCCACACUGGGACUGAGACACGGCCCAGACCUCCUACGGGAGGCAGCAGUGGGGAAUAUUGGACAAUGGGCGGAAGCCUGAUCCAGCAACGCCGCGUGAGGGAUGAC